GGCUGGUCUGAAGGUAGUGAGUUAUCUCGAUUGUUCACAGUCAGUACAGAUUGAACUCCUUGUUCUACUCUUUCCCACCUCACUUCUGCACUUGACUAGUCUUAA
ensembl:misc_RNA Y_RNA Y RNA